CUCGGUGACGAGGAGGAAAGCGCAACAGAAAGCAGACCGCCUCUCGCGCUCGCGCGAGGGGUAAGGGUGAAACGGUGAGGUAAGAGCUCACCGGUCCCGGUGGCGACAUCGGGAGCCAGGCAAACCCCACCCGGAGCAAGACCGAAUAGGAGAGCGUUUGAGGGCUGCCCGUCCGAUGCUCUCGGGUUGGUCGCUUGAUCCCGCCGGUAACGGUGGGGCCAGAGGAAUGAUCAUGCCCUGUUUGCCUUCGGGCGUUCAGGGAACAGAACCCGGCUUAUGCCCUGCUCCGGGCU
rnacentral:RNase_P_RNA from 1 species